rnacentral:rRNA from 1 species
UACGGGGGGGGCAAGCGUGUUCGGAAUUACUGGGCGUAAAGGGCUCGUAGGUGGCCAACUAAGUCAGACGUGAAAUCCCUCAGCUUAACUGGGGAACUGCGUCUGAUACUGGAUGGCUUGAGUUUGGGAGAGGGAUGCGGAAUUCCAAGGUGUAGCGGUGAAAUGCGUAGAUAUCUGGAGGAACACCGGUGGCGAAGGCGGCAUCCUGGACCAACACUGACACUGAGGAGCGAAAGCCAGGGGAGCAAACGGG